GCCCUGCGGGGCGGGGCGGAGGAGCGGCGGGGCGGGACGCAGACGGGUGGGGCGGCCGUGCCCGCCGCGAGCACCCCCUCGGCUUUGCCAGCGUCUGCGCGGCGGAGCCGCCUCUCCUUCCGCCGGGGCCGCCUCUCCUUCCGCCGGGGCCGCAGGGCCUCAUGGAAGCCCCGGAGGGCGGCGGAGGGGGGCCCGCAGCGCGGGGCCCUGAGGGGCAGCCGGCGCCCGAAGCCAGGGUGCACUUCCGAGUGGCGAGGUUCAUCAUGGAGGCAGGUGUCAAGCUAGGGAUGCGGUCCAUUCCCAUUGCCACUGCUUGCACCAUUUACCAUAAGUUCUUCUGUGAGACCAACCUGGAUGCCUAUGACCCUUACCUGAUUGCCAUGUCUUCCAUUUACUUGGCUGGCAAAGUGGAAGAGCAGCACCUGCGGACUCGUGACAUCAUCAAUGUGUCCAACAGGUACUUUAACCCAAGCGGUGAGCCCCUGGAAUUGGACUCCCGCUUCUGGGAGCUCCGGGACAGCAUUGUGCAGUGUGAGCUUCUCAUGCUGAGAGUUCUGCGCUUCCAGGUCUCCUUCCAGCAUCCACACAAGUAUCUGCUCCACUACCUGGUUUCCCUCAAGAACUGGCUGAACCGCCACAGCUGGCAGCGGACCCCUGUUGCCGUCACUGCCUGGGCCCUGCUGCGGGACAGCUACCACGGGGGGCUGUGCCUCCGCUUCCAGGCCCAGCACAUCGCCGUGGCAGUGCUCUACCUGGCCCUACAGGUCUACGGAGUUGAAGUGCCCGCCGAAGUCGAGGCUGAGAAGCCAUGGUGGCAGGUGUUUAGUGACGACCUUACCAAGCCAAUCAUUGAUAAUAUUGUGUCUGAUCUCAUUCAGAUUUAUACCAUGGACACAGAGAUCCCCUAAGGCCCUGGCCCAGGCCUGCCCAAAGAGAAGCCCAGGAUGGUUGGCUGCCUGGGGACAUUGCCACCACGUCGCCAUGACGGCUGGUCCCCAGAGGACCGGCUGGGAGGACUGGUUUGCUGCUGGAAAAGGACUGGAGAAGGCGAUGGCAUGCUGCUGCUUUGACAGUCCCUAGCAGUUGCGGUCCAGACGAUGAUGGGAGCCGCACCUCCAGUGGGCAGGCCGGGAGUGCACUGUGUGAGCUGACCCAAGGCAGCCACAUCUGCUUUUGUUCUUUGAGAGGACUCUGACUACAACAGAGGCGUGACAUCAAUGAAAGGAAAACCAUGAAAUCGAUGAGACUGAAUCCCUAGGGAUUUUUUAAAGCCAGAUUCAUGGCGAGAAUGAAUGUGCAACAUGGCUGAAAUCUAUUUUGUGUAAUAAAAGAAAGAAAGGACUUGGAGGUGACAGAAUUGCAAGCCGGAAACAGCCUCCGUGCCUAUAUUUCUUCUGGAGCCUAACACAGCCUCCCACAUGCAUUGAACUGUGCUGUGGGUGAGAAAAAAAAGCCAUAAGAAAAAAGGAGGAGAGACAGACACGGGAGAAAAGCCACACUACAACAGAGGCAGAGGUUGGAGUGAAGCAUCUACAAGCCAAGGAAUUCCGAGGACGGCUGGCAAUGCCCAAAGCUAAGAGGAAGUCCUGGAACAGAUGCUGCCCUGGAGCCUUCAGAGGGAGCAUGGCCUGCCCAUGCCUUGAUUUUGGACUUUUGGCCUUCAGAACUGUGAGAGAAGUUUCUGUUGUUGUGAGCAGCCACGGGCCACUCACACACGGGCCUCCCCGAAACCCCCGCACAAGCCUUUACUCCCAGGACCCAGCUGUUUCACUGAGUACCAAUUUUCCCCCGUGGCACCUGUGUCAUAUCUGAAGCAGAAGCUUGUGGACAGGGGAUUCACAGACACAAAUUUGCGAUUCUUCUAGGGUAGCAUGAUAUCUCUUCAUGAAGGGCCAGCUGUCUUUGUGUGGACUUUGGCUCAAUCUGGACUUACUCAUCCUUAUGGUUCAGGAUGCACUUGGACACCAAUGCAGCAAGGGCAUGGUGCGAUUCUUCUGCCUGCUGUUUUCAAUUUGUCUUCUUUUCUUUUCUUUUUUCUUUUCUUCUUUCUUUCUUUCUUUUUUUUUUGAGACAGAAUCUCACUCUGUCACUCAGGCUGGAGUGCAGUGGCAUGAUCUCAGCUCACUGCAACCUCCACCUCUUGGGUUCAAGCGAUUCUUCUGCCUCAGCCUCCCAAGUAGCUGGGAUUACAGGCGUGCACCACCAUGCCAGGCUAAUUUUUGUAUUUUUAGUAGAGAGAGGGUUUCAUCAUUUUGGCCAGGCUGGUCUCGAGCUCCUGACCUCAAGUGAUCCCCCGCCUUGGCCUCUCAAAAUGCUAGGAUUACAGGCGUGAGCCACUGCGCCUGGCCCUAUUGGUCUUUUCGCUGGUUUUAGAAGCAUGGACUCUGACGCUUUGAAUGACUUUGAAGCCAUUUUUCUCCUCUCUUGGCAGCCUUCCUGGAAAAUGCGUCUUCGCCAAGUCGAAAAGGGAAAGAGAAAUCCAAUGAAGUGAGGGGAGUGUGGUCUUAGCGCCAUCGCCAGGGUGGUCACUGGCAAGUCCUGGCUCUUCCGGGCUCCAGCAGGAGUGGGACCAUGGAGCAUGGGCGUGCACAGGCACAGGUGUUUAGGGAUGCAGCAUGUGGAUUAAGAGAAUGAGUGAAAUGGCGGGCUUUCUUCCUGUGGCUUUGGAUUAGCAAAGGCGUCUGUGAUUGGAACCCUGCUGCACUGCUGAUGAGAAUGGAAAAUGGCGGUUUCUCAAAAGGUUCAACCUACAGUCCCGAUAGGAUCCAGUAAUUCCACUGCUGGGUAUAGGCCCAAAGGAAUGGAAGGCAGGGUCUGGAAGGGCAGUUUGCAUGCCCAUGUUCACUGCAGCAUGAUCCACAGGAGCUGAAAUGUGGAAGCAACCUAAAUGUCCAUGGAUGGCUGAUGGCAUAAACAAAAUGCAGCAUAUCCAGACAAUGGAGUAUGAUUCCCCUUAAAAAGGAAAUUCUGACACAUGCUUCAACAUGGGUGACCCUUGAGGACAUCAUGCUAGUCACAGAAGGGCAAAUACUGUAGGAUUCCACUUCUAUGAGGGUAUGAGGGGCCUAGAGUGGUCAAAUCCAUAGAGACAGAAAGUAGAAGGGUGGGUGCCAGGGGCUGGGGGGUGGGGAGUUGGGGUUGAACGGGGCCAGAGCUUCAGUUUGGGGAGAUGAACAAGUUCCGCGGCUGGAUGGUGGUGAUGGCUGCACAGCACCGUGAAUGUGCUUGUGAUCUGUGUUUUACCACAAUAAAAGAAGUGAGGAGUGUG